rnacentral:rRNA from 1 species
UGGGGAAUAUUGCGCAAUGGGCGGAAGCCUGACGCAGCGACGCCGCGUGGGGGAUGAAGGCCUUCGGGUUGUAAACCCCUUUCGGCUCUGACGAAGCCCCUUUUUGGGGUGACGGUAGGAGCAGAAGAAGCGCCGGCCAACUACGUGCCAGCAGCCGCGGUAAGACGUAGGGCGCAAGCGUUGUCCGGAUUUAUUGGGCGUAAAGAGCUCGUAGGCGGCCUGUCGCGUCGAUCGUGAAAGUCCACGGCUCAACUGUGGGAUUGCGGUCGAUACGGGCAGGCUAGAGUGCGGCAGGGGAGACUGGAAUUCCUGGUGUAGCGGUGAAAUGCGCAGAUAUCAGGAGGAACACCGGUGGCGAAGGCGGGUCUCUGGGCCGUUACUGACGCUGAGGAGCGAAAGCGUGGGGAGCGAACA